rnacentral:lncRNA from 1 species
GAAGUACACAGGUGUAAUUACGAGGAACACGGGUAAAUGGUGUGCGACGUGUAUAUAUAUGUAUAUGUGCGUGUGUACGCAUGGAUCGGUUGGCGCAUUAUCCACGGGGUGUAAUUAAUUUCCAACGAUAACAAGUUUCGAGGUGUCCAUGGUUACGACGACGUCGUUGCGUGAGUCGGUGUUUUCUGAGUCGAGCAAAGGGUUAACACGAAGUGCCGCGAAGAAAGCUUCUGCAGAGAUUCUGGACAAUCUGCAUGAGCUCCUUCUCCUCCUCCUCUUCCUCUUCCGUUUUCUCGUUUCUUCUCAGAAGUUUGGGAACGAAAGUAGAAAGGGAGACUUGAUGUUCGUCGCAGAGGAUAAACGAAGCUCGAUAACGAUUUCUUUUCUCUUUCUCUCUGCACGAAUCAAGUUUUGGAGAGAGAGAGAGAAGAAUGAUGAUAAGAAAAGAAAGGAAAAGGAAGAAAUUAGCCAGCUCUUCAAGCCGGGGCGACACACAUCGAGUGGGUUGGAGUCGAGAAUGGCCGAGGCACACGAUCGAGGUUGCCUCGUUCAAGGCUUGGGAGAUUACUUUUCGGCGCGUAUAAUUUUCAAAACAAAUUUCCUUGGAGAGGGGUGAAUAAGGAUGACCGAUUUAAAAUAGCCGGGGACGAGGCGGGGGAGGAAGAGGCUAAUAAAGUUCAAAGAGUCUGUUUAUCAGCCAGGAUAUUACGAAAGCCUUUUAUAACCGUUCCUUCGUAGAGAGCGCGUUUUAUUUCGCUACUCUCUCUUCUGCCUCCUCCUCCUCCUCCUCUUCCGUUAAUUUCAUUUGCGUCGAAACGAUUCGAGGACCGAGUUCGAAAAAAAAAAAGGAAAGGAAAGGAAAGAGAAAAAAAGAGAGAGAGAGAGAGAGGAAGCGCCUCCUCUUUUCAAGAUCUAUCACGAUACACACCGUGUCCAAGCGUGAUUUAUCGUUGAAAAGUGGCACGAAUUCGUGAAAUAAUGACGGGCGCGUGGAAUAAUUUUUAAAUCUACGCGCGUAUCCUCGAGGCACGAGGAUUCGUAGACAAACAGAGACGGUCCAUUCUGUAUUAACCGUAUCGGUAUGAAGCGUGAUUUACAACCGGCGGUAUAACAGUAGUACUAUCUGGUAUUUUCUGAGCUCUCCGUUUGAUUUAUAAUAGCUGCAUCGGUUGUAGAUGCUUGCAAGAAUCGUCGAUCCCAGACAACGAUCGAUUUUAUCGAGUUUCAUAAUGGGAAAAAUAAAACCCUCCCUUCGUAUUUAUAUUUCUCCAAGUUUUAAAUUCUUCUUCUUCUUCUUUUUUUUUUCUUUCAGACGUUGUUUAAUUGGGAUCUAUUGUUCCUACACGAGAGCGGGGCCGCUCUCGACUUUGAAGUGGCUUGCCAGUUUAACUGGCUUUGCAAACGUUUGCUCGCGAAACACACGACAUACCGGUGAGAAAUGCCCCCCGAAAGCGAGUCCGCUGUGAAAGUCUGCCGGUGGAAAAACUCGAGAAAAUUGGAUAACCGUGCGUGUGUAAACGAGGGACAAAUAACAAUCACUUUUAUCCUGUCGAAAUUCCUGUGAAACGUUCCCGUCCAAAACGUUCCAAGGAUCGUUGUUUCCCUUGUAAACUCGGCCAUCUCGAAAAUCGGUCUCGCUGUUGGGCGUGGAAAAAUUAUUAUUUCGGCUUCGGCCUGUUUUCCUCCGGUUUUGGAAAGCCGGAGGAGGAGUAUUAAUACGAUUCGAGCACUGUCGAGCUCGCGGUGAUUUAUUGUUCCAAUCGCGGCGCACGAAAUACGGGGGAAAAGCAGUUUUGAAUCUAGGCUUAUCGAUCACGGAGCCGAACUGCAUGGAGCCGAGUCUCUCUCUCUCUCUCUCUGGAACAGUAGAAACAGACGGUCAUAUGUUAGCCGCAUUAGUACGACGAGUGACUUUCAAUCAAGUUACGCUAGCAACCCCCCCGUUCGCUCAUAGAGAGCACACCUCAAACGUCGAUAUUCGAAUUCGUGUCUCUCCCCCCGUUCAUCGAUUCCCGAGCACGAUCGAACGAGCACAGUGUCCUUUCGUAACUCGAUUCCGAUUUCCGAGAUCGGGAAGAAUUUAUGAAUCCCAUUUAUAGGAUAGCGCGAAGCAUACUCGAUCGUGUGGUACUUAUUUCUCGAAUCGUUUCUUUCUUUUUUUUCCCCCCUCACCGAAUCAAAAGAAUCGAAAUGGUGUUCAGAUGUAAAAAUUCGGAUCGUUCGAAAUGAAAAUGUUUGCGAGCCGUGUCUUCCGAGCAAAUAAGUCAUCGCCGCAUGCUCCAGUUCCCGGACCAAGGGGUAAUAAGGCGUAACGAGAAAUCGAUAUUACGAUGAAAACGAGUAAACAAACUCUCGUGAACGAAAAGGAAAUUUUUUUAUCCCGAGGCUUUCGAGAGGAUAAUUUAUAAUUUUUCGGAUGUAUAAAUAUCGAUCCUGGGAGGAAUCGAAUAUAAAAACCUGGAUGGGGGGCAAUUUGUUAAAAAUUUUUCGCGGAAUCGCGGUGAAAAAUCUGGAGAAUCUAAAGUGUAAUAGUUUCCUCUGUUGCUCCUCUGUUCACCUCCAGCAACCCUAGGAAAUUCGAGGGUUCAGCAGCUUAUUAAAAAACGUGAAAUCACCGCGAUAUCAUCGUGCUGAAGUCGUUGCAAACUUAAUACGAUACUCAUUAACCAGUUAUCGCGGCUGAAAUACGUAAGUGAGAUUUAUUAACGUUUCGUGGCACGGUUGGGAUCGUACGUGCUGACUGCGCCGUCGGUAUCACGAUUUUUUUCAUCUCUCCAGGCUUACCUUAACCAUAUAGGAGAGAGAGAGAGAGAGAGAAAGAUAAUUGCGUUAUCUCGAGUAAAACUAGUUGAUUGCGAUGAUACCUUUUCGUUUUUUUUUUUCUUCUUUUUGUUUUUCAAGAUAGCGGAUCUUGUUUAUCAUCGACGAGAUUGGUCGAAACAAAAGAGGGGAGGAGGGAGGAAACGAACGAUAAACGGAGCACGGAGUGGGAAAAACGAUGCCUCGAUCAUUUUAUCGUUUUUUCGGAUCGUUAAUUGUAAUUCCCCCCAACGAUCGGAUGGAAUACAAUGGAAAUACACCAGAUGCCUUUUCCCAUAAAAAAUUUUUAAACGUUUCUCGACUAAUUACGCGAGAAACAUUUCGUUCCCGUAACGAAAUUUUAUGCAGGGUAAUCUCUGUUCGUUGUUUUAACGCGCGAAAAAGGAAAAAAAAGAUACCGUAUUCCGUAAGUAAGUACGAUCCACAAUUUUUUAUUACACUUAUUACACAUACUUUUUUCCAUUUUCUUUUCAAAUUCAACGCUCUUGUUCGCGCUCUUCGAUCGAUCAUCGAUUAAACGCGCGACUCCGUCCGCGGAUUAAUCAAAAAUAAAUUGUGAAACAAACGUUAAAUACUUAUACAUUAUAAAUAUUUCAUGGAUCCAUUGCUGUUAUCUCUUAUUCUCUACGAUUUUUAUCCGCAAUUCCGUUACGCGGUUGCGAAGUUUUUUCACAAUUCUUAGCGAUCGGUCGAAUUUGCGGUCGCAACGAUCCGACGGAAAUCGAUGUCUCGUUAGUUCUGGCGCAAAAAAGAAAAAAAGAAAGAAAGAAAGAAGGAAAAAAACGGGGCCGGGUUAUGAACGGUUUGCGAGAGAGGAGGGGGAAAAAAUUUCGAAAAAAUCCACGGUUGGGACCGGGAAAAGCGUGUGCAAUUUUCGAAAGUAAAAAGUUCUGGUGUGACGCGCCGCCUCUCCUUUCACCUCUCCCCCUCCCCUCCCCCCUCGUUCCGCGAAAAUGGGGAAAAAGUUUCUCGUUCCCUCGAGCGAACGGAAGCGGAUAUCGACUAUUAUACGCCGAGUCGAAUUGAAACGCGCCUAGAAACUUUUCGCGCACAGCCGCGCUUUUAAAAAAGGACCGUUCUUCGGGAUUUUAUUGGAAUAUUUGAUAAAGCCACCCCCGGUGGUAAAAAAUAAAGAGCAAUUCUAUUCGGUUAAUGAAAUACGAUUCCUCCGUCGAGCGCUCUUAAAACCGCAACGAUUCUCCAAUCUCGAGUGAUCGAUCUCGAUAUUUAAAUUCUUGUCUACGAAAAAAAAAGAAUAGAAAAAAAUAGAGAACAAUAGAAGAAAAAAAAAGAAAAGAAAGGGAAAAGCAUCAAAGUAUCGGAAAAAACAAUGGUCGAAAAUUCUUCCCCAUCUCGAACAUCUUAAUAUAGAACAUCUCCAAUCUCGAGUGAUCGAUCUCGAUAUUUAAAUUCUUGUCUACGAAAAAGAAUAGAGAAAAAUAGAAAAAAAUAGAGAAAAAUAAAAGAAAAAAAAGAAAAGAAAGGGAAAAACAUCAUCUUAAUAUAGAAAUCUCCAAUCUCGAGUGAUCGAUCUCGAUAUUUAAAUUCUUGUCUA